GGAGAGGUCGCAUAGCCCGGUUUAGUGCGCACGCUUGGAAAGCGUGUAAACCGAAAGGUUUCGAGGGUUCGAAUCCCUCCCUCUCCG
rnacentral:tRNA from 1 species